UGUGUCCCGAGGACCAUGGCAACCCAGUUACUGUUUUCUUUCCUUUUUAAAAUUUAACCAUUGAACUAGCCCCUGCCCACACCUGCCUCUGUUUUCUAGUCAACUUUCUGCUGUGUGUAGCACGGAGAGUCUUUACUGGGUAGCUUUUGUUGAUGGCAGGCACAAUUCACAAUUCUGUCUUCUCACCCUUUUAUUGAAAUGGCAAAAUCCAAGCACAAAUACUGUUGUUAAGAGGGCUGAGAAGGCUACAGGAGACCAGAGUCACUGACCUUUAUUUUGAAAAUCAAGACCUCUUUUAAAGUUCCUGGAAGGAACUUAAGGAUGCUGUCGUUCAUGAGGGCACCGCAGAGUCCGGUGCAUGCAUGAAUGAAUGCACGAACACAUCAGUGCAUGCAGUCUACUGGCCCCAGCGAGGUCACCAUCUCAUCUCAGAUACUCAGAAACAAAACAGGGAAGGUCAAGGGAGCAAAUGCUACCUACAGGAGACUCAAGCACAUGAUGUGGACAAGGACACAGUGGGGAGAGAUACUCGGGGACUUGGCUGAAGCCUCGCAGGGGAUUGGUCUCAAAGCUGAACCUCCAGCCCAGAAUUCAGCCUUCCUCCUUGUGCCAAGAGCCAUGCCACCCUCCGUGGUGACGAGCAGCCGCCGGCUAGGACAGGCAGUGCAAGGACCCUCUCUGUACUGCGCGCCUUGUAGGCUGGUAGAGACGCCCCUCCCACGUGCAGUUAUUGUGGAGUUACCAUCGCAGCCCACAGGUAUGCAGUACUUCAAAAGCUUGUGUCCGGGUCUCAGCUCUGCCGCCAACUCCCUGGAACUGUGGACAGAUCUCCAAGCCUCAGUUUCCCCAUCUUGACAAUGAAAUUGGCAUUCUGCUCUGCCAGUUUUCUGCCUGGAGCACAGUCCUGCCACCUCGGCUGCAGCACGCUGCUGGCAAUGAACUUCCGC
rnacentral:lncRNA from 1 species